rnacentral:rRNA from 1 species
UACAGAGGUCUCAAGCGUUGUUCGGAUUCAUUGGGCGUAAAGGGUGCGUAGGCGGCGCGGUAAGUCGGGGUGUGAAAUCUCGGAGCUUAACUCCGAAACUGCAUUCGAUACUGCUGUGCUUGAGGACUGGAGAGGAGACUGGAAUUUACGGUGUAGCGGUGAAAUGCGUAGAUAUCGUAAGGAAGACCAGUGGCGAAGGCGGGUCUCUGGACAGUUCCUGACGCUCAGGUGCGAAAGCCAGGGGAGCGAACGGG